CGGGUGGUGGCGCAGCCCGGUAGCGCACUUGUAUGGGGUGCAAGUGGUCGCUGGUUCGAAUCCAGUCCACCCGA
rnacentral:tRNA from 1 species